GCUGUGGCCUAGUGGUAAGGUCUCGGCUUCGAGUCCGGAGAGUUCCAGGUUCGAAACCUGAUAUUACAGUG